UACGUAGGGGGCGAGCGUUGUCCGGAUUCAUUGGGCGUAAAGCGCGCGUAGGCGGCUCCGCAAGUCGGCCGUGAAAUCUCCGGGCUCAACUCGGAGGGGUCGGGCGAGACUGCGAGGCUCGAGGUGGGCAGAGGGCAGUGGAAUUCCGGGUGUAGUGGUGGAAUGCGUAGAGAUCCGGAGGAACACCAGUGGCGAAGGCGGCUGCCUGGGCCUGGCCUGACGCUGAGACGCGAAAGCGUGGGGAGCAAACAGGG
rnacentral:rRNA from 1 species